UCCUGGUUAGCUCAGCUGGUAGAGCGCUACACUGGAGAUGGAGAGGUCCCUGGUUCGCUACCAAGACUGGGCG
rfam:Ixodes scapularis strain Wikel colony gcontig_1107728654590, whole genome shotgun sequence.